UCGAAUUGUUGUAAUAAACGAUGAAGAGCCAUCGAAGCGCCAAAGUCAAAACUCGGAACCCAUUACUCGGUUUUGAUAGUUCCGGCGGUAAAUUAACGAUUUCUCCGAUGAUGGCUCUGGCACUGCCGCACAUGGCAAGCGGCUUAAGGUAAUUUUGUUUUCUCUCUCUAAAUUUAGCAUUUAAUAGAUAAUAUGUUGCUCCCCUAAAACGUAAAUGGAUUAAUUAAAUUCUUGGUUUUUGUGAUCAAAAUUAAUUCUUUCAUUUCUCGUCCUUUUUAUUAUAAGAAGGUUAACGAAUUAUAACUCCAGAGCCGUAUCUCAUGAGAUUGCUAGAACCAUGAUAUUCUUUCUAAUUCAUAUAUAAAACUAAUUUGGGUUCGGCUACUUUAUAAUUAUUUGAUUGCAUCUUACCGGCCUAUCUCUUAAUUCAUUUUAAUAGCCCACAUAUUUGUAUUAAGAGGUCUCUGAAUAGUUUAGAUUCAUAUUUAUAUUUGUAUCUUAAUGAUUUGGAGGCAUUUUAUCCCUAUUUCAAACAUUAAUAUACAUUAAGAGAUGGGAUGUUAAGAUGCAUUAAGAUACAAUCAAACAACACAAGUUAAUUUUUACUAAUAUUCUUAUGGGAAAUGGAUAUUUAUAGGAUUACGAAUUUAUUAGAGCAUAGUAUAAUAGUAUUGAUCACAUGAUACUACAUUAAUUGUCCUGACAAUGUGGAAUCAAUUUGCAAUUUAGUUUUCUAAAGAUAUUUUUCAAAUAAUAUCCCCUGCAUUUGCACAUAUUCCCUCUAGUACAAUGUAUACCAUUAAUUGAGGAAAAAUGUAACACUCGUUGCCACUUAUAGAAAGGAGUCAAUGCCUUAGAUUAAAAACUAGAACAAAAGCUAUUUUAAACUUCAUUACUUCCAGUGUCAACUCUGGGAUUCUGAAUAACCAAAACAGCCAUAGAAUUAAGGAACACCUUAUCCUGAACUCCUGUGUUACAAAUGUAGUUAAUUUUUUUAGUACAAAACAAUUACAACUUGCUUACACUAGGCUGUAUAGUGGAAAUUUAUUCGAAAGAUGCCCUUUUAGGUUCUAUCAGUAACAUGAUAUGAGAGGUAUUCCAAAGGAACUAUAGUGCCGUAGCCGUAGUUGCACAAAAAAUCAUGAACUAAUGGGCAUUUAAGUCUUUAACAACAAGUUUUACUCUAUUCAGCUGGAUCACAAAGGAAUUGGGACUGGAGCAAGCAGUUCACAUGCAGUUACUAUAGUAGAACAGAAGGCCUAUCCCUUUUGUAGCAAGUUCACGCCUAGCAACUUAUAUGUAAUUGAUCUCAAUGACCUAACAUAGUCCGUUGUUAGUGUAAUUGUGACAUCCUUCCACUUGUUGGUGUGACUAUGGCAUCGAUUGGUGAGAAUAUCUAUGUGUUAAUCUGCCACAGCAUUUACACGAUAUCGUUAUGAUCAAUUAAGUCUUGAGCUAGAGUAGUCUUACAUCUUCGCUCGCUGUUGAAAGAAGAAAAAGGCGACGAAGAGAUAGAAUUAAAAAAUUAUCCAUACGGGCUUAUGAUUUUGUUGGUCAAGUUUGAUUGAAAUUUCCAGUACCUGGGAGAAUUCGAGGGUAGAGGUGGCCCUGGGUAUCUAUGGUCCAAAGGAAAAUCUGAAUUGUGUUACGUGUAUGGAUUCUCUGGUUUGGAGCUUGAUGAUAUAAUCACUUUGAUCAGAUUAAUGAAAAGUGGGUCCAAGUGGAAACUAAUGGAGUAAAUCCGAAGGCUUAAAGUGUGUUUUCAGCAGUUGGGAUUGGAUAAUACAUAUUUCUAUAUGACGGGGAAGUGGACCCUAGUGAUUCAGGCCACAUAGAUGCCGGGAAAUUUUUGAGCUAGCUAUUUGCGUUGGACGUAGAAGCAUUGAUGUGGAAGCGGUUGAAGGAUGGGUCAGAUUCUGGUGAUCAUCAGGUUCUUGGAUGGUGUGCGUCCAUAGCUGGUAAACGAGAUAGCUAAGACUUUCUGAAUAAAUCUGUCUAGUCUUAGGCACUGUAUAUUAUUUGGAUGGAAAAAAUCUUGUUGAACAUAUCAACAUGUAGCAGUUUAUAACAGUCCUAGUCUUUUUGCGUGACUGGAGGAAGUUACUAGAUUAAGUAAUCAAUGGAUGCUUCCUCCAGUAGCACAAUUUAUGGAGACUUCAUUCCCAUCUUUCUAUCAAACAAAAGUCAUAAGACUUUCUUUUAUAUUCCACCAAAUUAAAGGUAAUUGCUUUUUGUGGCAUUUUGAACUGUGGAACAACAUGAAGCCAAUUUUUCAAUGAAAAUCCCAGAAUGAUAUUUUUAGAUAUAUGCCCAUGGUUUAUAUUAAAAGAGAAACAAACUAUAUAUCUAUGGUAACUUGCAAAAUUUGAAAAUGAUCUAGAUAAGAGUAUGAAUAAGCUUACACAUUGUGUUCGACCUGAUGAAGCUUAUACAGUUAAAGAUCAAGUGAUCAACAAAUGUUUCAUGGUCUAGGAAAUGAGAUUGUAGAUGUAAAAUCUUAGAGUGUAAUGGGUGCUUUAUUAUUUAUCUGUUUGAGGCUAGUUUUAGCCAUCUGAACUAUACCAAAUUGCUGUGUUACUCAGACUUAUCAUUUUUGGUGGAGUACCUGUGUCGACACGACACUGGUACGAGUGCUGGAUUCGUACGGGAUCCGGCUAUAGAAAUCCAGAUACGGCUGUUUUGGAAGAAGAAGAAGAGACGCGAGAGGAAGAAGAAGAAGAGUCGCGCGAGAGGAGGAAGAAGAAGAGAGUAAGAGAUGAGUCAGAUCUGAGAUGAGGGAGAAGAAGAGUCGCGCACGAGAGGAGAAAGAAGAAGAGAGUAAGAGAAAUAUCCUUGAAAAAUUACAGUUAGGUACCUUAUAGUUUUUUAAUUUAGUCUUCCAGGUUUUAUGAAAGUUUAAAAUAGCCCUUGGAAAGUUACAUAUCAGUCCAUGUAGUUUUAUUUUUUUCCAUUUCAGCCCCUGAAGUUUCAGUUCUGCCCCUGUUUCUUUAUAUUUUUGCACUUCAGUCUCUAGGGAAAAAAACUUGAUGAUACAAUUAAUAACAUUAUUAUUAAAAAAUCAUAACAUACUGUAUCCAUAUCCGCGUAUUCUCUAUUUUUUAACUUCACGUGUCUGACACCUAGAUUCGUACUUGCACCCGACACUCGUACCCGAGUCCGAGUAACACAGCCAAAUUGUUGUUAAAAACUUUCUCCGAAUCAUAUACCUCUUUUACCUAAGCGCUAGAACCUGCACCUAGGUUUGACAGUAUGGACCUUUUUUUUGGGUAUUAUAAAUUUUAGAUUUAGAAAGCGCUAGUUUCUACUUCAAAUUUUGAAAAAUUAAGUAAGUUGAUUGCAUAAGGUCUGCAUAAUGGUAUUGAUUUAUAUUACUGUUCUUAUGUUAAGAUGAAGCUCUGCUAUCUAGUUUGUGAUCAUUGAUGUUGUGCAACUGAAUAAAUUAGUUGUAAUAUUUUAAUCCAACUAUGGAUGAAUGUGCAUACAUAAAAUGCAAUUGUUAAAAGCUAAUAAUAAGUGGAGUUGGUGUCAUUUUGGGAAUAUUAUGUGAAAAGUUUGUUUUGUGCAAAAUUAUGCAAACAACAACUUAUAUAAUACUCCUUGAUUCUUUUCCUUGCAUAGAGCCAAGCCAAUAGACAGGGCAACUGCAAAGUAGUAUAGUAGCAAAGUAGGAGAGAAUAUUUAUUUCUUGCUGGAUGCUCCUUCUCUUUUGUCCAGCUUAUGAAUGGAGUUGUCAUUUUUAGAUUUAAUAACCAAAUUACAGAAAAAACAGCCUCUGUAAGACCCAUAUACAAUUAUGAAUCGUAGCAAAGUAUUAGUUAUAUAGUUUCUGCAAUUUCAGCACCUCGUGCAUUUAUUGAGAUGGUGUAGUAAUAGCGCAAGAUUUCUAGGCACUAGUCACCACAUUAUUGAUAGAGAAGCAUUAUUUGUAGACAAUAAUAGUCUACUUAAAAUUCUGACACCGACACGGUGUCUGCAUCAAAUCUUGUCCUUAAAUCAAGCCUAAAACAAUUAAAAAGCUCAAUCUCUUCCUUGAUAACAACAUUUACCAUACAAUAGAAGAAUAUAAAAGUUUUUUCACAGCUCAUACCGAAACGGGAAUCACUGAUCACACCCGAAAUAAUUACAAUCAAAUGAUAAAGAAAAAGGGAAAAAAUAAAAUAAAUAGAAGCCCUUCCAAGAAAUAUUUGUAAAAUAAAAAGAAAAUAAGAACUAUAGAAAGAAAAUCAUUUCUAUAAUGGAAUCAAGAAUUCAUUCAACCUCAAAGAAACACCAAUAACCCCAAAGACACUCCCAAAAGCACUGUCAAUGCCAUCCUCAUACCAUUAAUCCUCACAGACCCAUUGUCGUCACUAGCUGUCUGAUCAGCCGGAUCUUCGUCUUCCGACGAAUCUGGCCCUGGUGCUUCCGCAUCUGCAUCGUCAUCACUCUUCUUACCUUUCUUAGUCUUUGGAGCCUUAGGAGCCGGCGCCGCCGCCUCCGCCUUAAACAACUCCCUAGGCAACAAAACCUUAUCAAUCUUGUAAACAGCUAGUGGCUCCUCAUCCACCAAAGUCCCCUUUAUUGUUGCUGUAAUUACUUUAGUCUUUAACAUCACAGCCUCACCAUCAUUUUGAAUUGUAAAAUCAUAUUUAUUAGCCCCUUCAGUGGCCAAAGUAUUCAUCAACCCAUUAUUUGAUCUUAACAUACCCAUAGAAUUAUACACUGGCACUCCAUGAUAAAGCACCAAUGACAUUUUCCCGUCUGCCGUCAAGUUCUUGUACUUGGGCAUAAAAGCUUUAAGAACUUCAUCACUUGGACAAAAAACUGUCAAUCCACCUUCAACGGUUUGGACAAAAGUGUCCUCGGCUUUUUCAGAAAUUAACAAGUCUGCAAAUGCUUUGCAUCCUUUUGCCCUCAUGAUAUCUGUUACAUUUACUGAUGGUGCAGCUGUGGGAGCUUCAGCUCCAGGGGAAUUUAAUACGUUACUUAUAUGAAUGACAGAUAUGUUGUAUGGUUUUUCUUCAAUGGACUUCACAUAGAAGGCAUUGAGUUCACCAGAACUGUCUUCUGGGGCGAACCCAACCUUUCCGCCUUUUACAUCAGUGAUGUUGACAUAGCCGGAGGUGCCUUCAGCCUUGCCAGUGGC
rnacentral:lncRNA from 1 species